UACAGAGGGUGCAAGCGUUAAUCGGAGUUACUGGGCGUAAAGGGCGCGUAGGCGGUUAUUUAAGUGAGAUGUGAAAUCCCUGGGCUUAACCUAGGAACUGCAUCUCAUACUGAAUGGCUAGAGUAUUGUAGAGGGUAGUGGAAUUUCCGGUGUAGCGGUGAAAUGCGUAGAGAUCGGAAGGAACACCAGUGGCGAAGGCGGCGACCUGGACGGAUACUGACGCUGAGGUGCGAAAGCGUGGGGAGCAAACAGG
rnacentral:rRNA from 1 species